ensembl:snoRNA SNORA70 Small nucleolar RNA SNORA70
CUGCACCCAAUUAAGUUGACCAGGUACCUUUCCUCAUGGGGCCUGGUGUGCAGUGACUGCAAACAGCAACCUCUUGGGUAGUGUAUGCAGCCCAUUGCAUGUACAGGCUAGACUAAGGGAACUUGGAAACAGGU